AGAGUUUGAUUAUGGCUCAGGGUGAACGCUGGCGGCGUGCUUGACACAUGCAAGUCGAACGGUAUGUGGCAACACAUAGAGUGGCGAACGGGUGAGUAACACGUGGGAACGUACCCUACGCAGGGGGAUAACUGACCGAAAGGACAGCUAAUACCGCAUAAGACCGAAAGGUGAAAGGUGCAACUGCACCGGCGAAGGAGCGGCCCGCGGACCAUCAGCUAGUUGGUGGGGUAAGAGCCUACCAAGGCAACGACGGAUAGCCGGCGUGAGAGCGUGGCCGGCCACAAGGACACUGAGAUACGGGUCCUACUCCUACGGGAGGCAGCAGUGCGGAAUUUUAGAUAAUGGAGGCAACUCUGAUCUAGCGACGCCGCGUGCAGGAAGAAGGUCUUCGGAUUGUAAACUGCUGUGGUAAGGGAAAAAUGCCAUGUAGAGUGGAAAGCUACAUGGAGGGAUGGUACUUUACUAGAAAGCCCCGGCUAACUACGUGCCAGCAGCCGCGGUAAUACGUAGGGGGCGAGCGUUACCCGGAAUCACUGGGCGUAAAGGGAGCGUAGGUGGCCUGACAUGUCGACUGUGAAAACCCGGAGCUCAACUCCGGACUUGCAGUUGAAACUGCCAGGCUUGAGGACGGUAGAGGAAGACGGAACUGCCAGUGUAGGGGUAAAAUCCUUAGAUAUUGGCAGGAACGCCGGUGACGAAAGUGGUUUUCUGGGCCGGUUCUGACACUGAUGCUCGAAAGCCAGGGGAGCGAACGGGAUUAGAUACCCUGGUAGUC
rnacentral:rRNA from 1 species